GCCUACGUGGUCCAAAGGAGAAGACACAGGUCUACGAAACCUGGGAUCGGGGUUCGAUUCCCUGCGUGGGCAC
rnacentral:tRNA from 1 species